GAGCAGAUCGCUGGGACAGCCCGCUGAAUUUCAUGCGAUACUGAGGAGGAAGAGCGAGAUGCUGAGAAACAUUGAAAAAAACACAUUUAAUUUACUUUGCCGAAAAUUACGCAGUAGUGCCGAGGAUGAGGUUAGGACAUGACUCUUAUAUAGAGUCAUGAACACGUUUGCCGCCAUCACGUUAUAAUUUUACGAGGUGGGAAUGGCAAAACCUGUGUUUUCUUUAUAGUUUGAUCAAGUCUUGAACUAAAGAAACCUCAGCUGCGCCAGUGAAGUCUAAAGCCUCUUAACAGAAGACCUACGGCUUGGGUGGAGGGUCUGCCCACUUCUGCUGUUUGGGAAUGUGACCUCAACGAGCGGAGCAUGCUGUUUACAGAGAAUACAAGCUCUUCCAAUUAACCCAGGGUCUGGUGCUGGGGAUUCGCCAGAGCGCAAGCAGACGUGGAGUUCACAAACCGCAAACACUGAGUGACAUGGAGGUGUCUGAAAAUGCAAGGUCUCUUACAUAAACGCCCCUUGGGGUCAGGCUGAGAAGAAUCCUGUUGUUAGUGUGAGGGGGACUAAGGUGGCUGACAUCUUGGGGAAACAGUGCAGUGAUGUCCUCACGACUGAGAGAUGAAGGUCAGGAUCGGAUGCACGACGCCACCAUUACAUUCGCAUUCUCUCAGGAUCUGCAGUCCAUUUGGGAAUUUCUUCUGAUGUCACAAGAAAGCAGAGAACUUGUUGGUACCAGUGCAUUACACCUCAAAGAUGUUGCAGCAGACAAAGAGAAUGCAAAACUUCUCCCGUUUCACAAAGCCAUUCUGUCACAGAUGACACUUAUCUGUUCAUGAAAACUACCAGACUAAAUUAAACUAACAGGCUUCCCCCAUCUAUCUAAAUAACAUAUGAUUUAAGGUUCUGAGUAUUUUGCGAUGUGUUAAGUUGCAGAUAUAUUUCAUUGACAGUUUUACUAUCAGGCCCAUUAGCCUGAGAAAAAACGACUGUUUAAAAAAUGAUAUAUAAACAACUUUCCAUUCUAAAACUGCAUUGUACCGCAGCUAAUAUGUCAAUGACAUAUUUAAACUCUGAGCUAGCUGAAAACUAUGAUUACAUUAUACAUUUUAUAGUAUUAACACUGCUUUCUCUGGUAGCGUGUGUUAAUUUCUAUUUGUGUAUUACUGUGUCUGUACAGCAGGUAAAGUAUUGAACCCGUCACCAAUUUUCCAAGUAAAUAUAUUUCUAAAAGGUGCU